rnacentral:rRNA from 1 species
AUUGAACGCUGGCGGCAUGCCUUACACAUGCAAGUCGAACGGUAACGCGGGGCAACCUGGCGACGAGUGGCGAACGGGUGAGUAAUGUAUCGGAACGUGCCCAGUUGUGGGGGAUAACUGCUCGAAAGAGCAGCUAAUACCGCAUACGACCUGAGGGUGAAAGCGGGGGAUCGCAAGACCUCGCGCAGUUGGAGCGGCCGAUAUCAGAUUAGGUAGUUGGUGGGGUAAAGGCUCACCAAGCCAACGAUCUGUAGCUGGUCUGAGAGGACGACCGGCCACACUGGGACUGAGACACGGCCCAGACUCCUACGGGAGGCAGCAGUGGGGAAUUUUGGACAAUGGGCGCAAGCCUGAUCCAGCCAUGCCGCGUGCGGGAAGAAGGCCUUCGGGUUGUAAACCGCUUUUGUCAGGGAAGAAAAGACUCCUGUUAAUACCGGGGGUUCAUGACGGUACCUGAAGAAUAAGCACCGGCUAACUACGUGUCAGCCGCCGCCGUAA